GCGCAGCAGGCGCGAAAACUUCGCAAUACGCGCAAGCGUGACGAGGGAACCCCAAGUACUCCUGCUUUUUGCAGGAGUUUUUGCCAAGUGUAAACAGCUUGGAGAAUAAGGGCGGGGUAAGGCCGGUGCCAGCCGCCGCGGUAAUACCGGCCGCCCGAGUAGUGACCACUAUUAUUGGGCCUAAAGCGUCCGUAGCCGGUUUUGUAAGUUUCUGGGUAAAUCCCACAGCUUAACUGCGGGAAUUCCAGAAAUACUGCAGAGCUAGGGGCCGGGAGACGCAGAAGGUACUCCUGGGGUAGGGGUGAAAUCCUAUAAUCCCGGGAGGACCACCAGUGGCGAAGGCGGCCGACUAAAACGCGCCCGACGGUGAGGGACGAAAGCUGUGGGAGCGAACGGGAUUAGAUACCCGGGUAGUCC
rnacentral:rRNA from 1 species